rnacentral:misc_RNA from 1 species
GAUGAAGAACGUAGCGAAAUGCGAUAAGUAAUGUGAAUUGCAGAAUUCAGUGAAUCAUCGAAUCUUUGAACGCACAUUGCGCCCCUUGGUAUCCCGAUGGGCAUGCCUGUUCGAGCGUCAUUUCACCACUCAAGCCUGGCUUGGUGUUGGGCGACGUCCCCUUUGGGGACGCGCCUCGAAACGCUCGGCGGCGUGGCACCGGCUUUAAGCGUAGCAGAAUCUUUCGCUUUGGAAGUCGGGGCCCCGUCUGCCGGAAGACCUACUCGCAAGGUUGACCUCGGAUCAGGCAGGGAUACCCGCUGAACUUAAGCAUAUCAAUAAGCGGAGGA